rnacentral:rRNA from 1 species
GGGGAAUAUUGCGCAAUGGGGGAAACCCUGACGCAGCAACGCCGCGUGAGUGAUGAAGGCCCUUGGGUCGUAAAGCUCUGUCAGGUGGGAAGAGAACGGACGUACCACCAAAGGAAGCACCGGCUAACUCCGU